CCGGUUACGGCUAAGUCGGUCCAGAUGCGCAUCCCUCGGCGUGCGUGCGGAUCCAGGCUGCUUGUCAGUUUCUGGCCUGCCGGGAUCUUUGAGAAGCAGGACGAUCAUUUGCGUUUACAUCUCAUUCAUUCUUCCUUUAGGCAAUUCAAGUCCAUUCACAACUGGUGCGGACUAGGCGCCGGCAAUCCGCUUUCCGCACAUCCUCAGACUUUGGGAAGGGGCAGCCACACAUUCUGGUCAGAGUGAGGUGACGCAUAAAGCAGAGAUCUGGGUAAAAGGACACCCCCUUCCCUUCUCCCCGACACACACACACACACACACACACACACACACACACACACACACACACACACACACACACACACCAGCAUCCUUGUCUCUUCUGUUUUCCUCUCUCGCCCAAGGUAAAGAAAGUAGAGAACAGAAAGACAGAAGCGGGAAACUGAGGCUCCACGUUGACUGAAGUGGUCCAUGGUCACAGAUGAAGCGGGGGCAGAAACCCCAGCGCACUGAGCUCAAGGCCGGGUCCUCCGGGGGCCUCUCAGGACAGGCGGUGCACGGGGAGCCGGGUGUGCUGUCCCUCUACGUGUCGCUCCUCCUGCCGCUGCCUGGAGCUGCGGUCGCCCGAGCCCUGGAGCCACCCCCGCCGCUUCCUGCCGAGCCCGCAGCCGCCCCUUCGGGCCGAUACUUGAGCCAGCAGAUGAUCCAGUCUAGGGCCAGGUCCCGGGAGAAGUCGCCUCUCCCCCUACCAGCAAGAGCUCACCGUGAUGUCAUGCAGGACCCGCGCAGGAAGGGGAAGCAGCGGCCUCUCAGCCUGCAGGGCCCAGGCAGUCGUGCAGUGCUCAUCUCAGAGUGGAAGCGUAGAAGCGCAUUUUCCCUUCGCCGUUUGGAGGAAAUUUGGGAACCGGGCGGUAAGAACACUGCACUUUCCAUCCCUAUCCUCUGAAGAUCGCAAGGUGCCACGAGGAAUAGCUGCAGAAACGACUGGGAAGCAAACUCAAGAAAGAAACCAGCAAGAAUUUCCCAGAAGGGCCGGGGAUGCAGCUGAGUGGGGAGAGUGCUGACACGCACGCAGGAAAGCCCAGUGUCAUCCUGAGCACUACAUACAGCAUAAACCUGUAACAAUCCAGCACUUGGGAGGUGGGGGCAGCAGUCUAGAGAUUCUUAGCAUCCUCAACUACAUAUGGAGUUUGAGGCCAGCCAGGGCCUGUCUCCAAACACAAACUAAAACAAAGCAAAAUGAAUUUCUGGGGGAAUUCUAAGUGACUAUGACAUAUCUGGAGCAUUUGAAAAUAAGUACAGUUUUACUCUGUGUGAACAGUGAAAGCAAUCUGUUUUAAGUUAAACUUGUUAAAAACACUAACUUUUUUACUUUAGAGCUUUAUAAUUAUUAUUUGGGACAAUGUAUCUUUUUAAAUAUCUCACUCUGCGAUGGAGACAGUAAUGAGAGGUCCAGUUGAUGGGACAACAAAAAAGCUGUCCUCUGGCCUUGAAACUCAGAGCUAGCUGAGUUUCAAAAGUACUUCUCACUUGUCCACUUUCAGCAUGUGUGUCUCACACACAGUUUCACACUGGAUUCUUUACACUCUGAUUAGGUGUGUGCUAUGCUUGCAAUGUCAAUUAGAACUUGAAAUGGUCUCACAAGAGAGCUAAUGUGGAUGGGUAUGGUUCUUUUCACACACCCAGCUUCAUGCUGAAGAUGCCCAAAAGGUGACUGCAAGAGCUCUGAAGACAUGUGUGUUAGGAUAUAAUGUGUACUUGGGUAAAACACUUAAGCUUUAGCAGUUAUAGCCGGCAGUGCAUUCUCACCUUACACCAGGGCUUCUCAUACCAGCACUACUGACAUUUUGAACUGGUUAAAUUUUUAUUGCAGGUGCUGUUCUGUGCAUGGCCAAAGUUAAAUGGUGUCCUUGGCCUCUACUCAUUUGAAGUCAAUAGCAAAGCAUCCCAAUUUAACAACCAACGUUACCCCCUGAGGACAAAAUUAUCCCUGGCUACGACUUGCACAAAGACCACAGAUUUGCUUUAAGUGAGAUCUGAACCAGAUCUUCCAGCUCCUAUCUAGUAUAUGCAAGCAGGGUCCCCAAGGUAUUUAUCACAUCGUGAUAGGUCAUGGUGGUUUAAGUCCCAAAGCACAGAAUAAUCUUUGAAAGACACUGUUAUAAUUUUUGUGAAUACUUUCUAUAAACAAGUACAGGACUUUGGCUAACAAUGACAGAACUUACUGUGUUUGAGUAGGUUUUGUUUUUUGUUUUGUCUUGGGUAGACAGUAUCCCACACUAUAACUCAGGAUGACCUGGAACUCACUAGCAACAAACACAGCAAUCUUCCUCUGUUAGCCUCCCAAGUAUUGGAAUCACAGGCAUGAACCAGCACACACAGUUUGGAUAGUGUUUUGAGGGGAACCCAACACUUCAAUUAUUUUAUAUCUUGGGGACAGAUGUUAAUUUCUAGGACUCAUAAGGUGUUUUAUAAAGACUUCCUUGGAACAAUGGGGAGGGUUGGUGACAUCUAGAGACCUAGUGGACUAUAAUGCCCAGUCCAGUCAUGUUGCUUCCAAGAGUAAGCAUGGAAGCUUGGUCAUGUUGGGGAACUGGACUUUCCCUGGGAAGAAAAUGUGUUGAACUGGAACUUAAGUUGUCAACGAAUAGUUCAUUAUUCAUUCUAGGAUUUGAAUUGGCUUCACCAGAACACUACUCGUAUCUUGAACAUAUUAGAUACUAUUUGCUGGAUUAUUUUAUUUUUGAGGACCCAAGGAAAUGGGAAACAGCCAUGCUCUCUAACUAUCUCUUGUCUAUGGUCCUUCCCUUGGCUACCUAAAGAAUGUUCUAGUUUCAGAAGUCUCUGUCUCAACAAAAGGUUUAAGAGAUUUUCAUUCACAGAACAUGUGCCUUGGCAGUUCCAGAUCCUAGGUUGGCUUUUCACCUUUUGUGUAUUUGUAGGCUACCUUUUCUGUGCCUUGGUUCCCCAAACUAAAAUUUGGACAAAAGUACUUACUGUGUAGUUAUUUAUUGCACAUUGUAAGGAUCGGAUGUGUUGUGUAUGUAACAUGAAAUAAUAGGCCCUGGGCACUGGUAACACUCAUUAUUAUUUAUGUUGGGGUUCCUGUAUGCCUUCUAGGGAUCCUCACAGGCAUUUGUGAGGAUCUCUAGAUCAGUGUCCUCAGUGUCUGUGGGACCCAGUCCAAAGUGGAGCAGCCAAAGGCAAUGGGGCAGAUGUCAUCCAGUUCUUCUGACAAUCAAAGUUGAGACACAGGUAGCAUCCCAGCCACAGGACCAGCUUUCCUCUGAAGUCAGCCACACUCCACAGAUCUGCCAGCUGUAAUAAACAAAGCCCUUCAUAAAUCCUCAGGGCCAAGUGAAAUCUCAUUGUUCAUAUUGGAGGGAUAGAUGUCUAGGCAGAUAAAGCUACUCAGAAUCAAGUAUUAAAUCAUUCCAUCAAAUAGUUGACAUUUUAAAAUAGAAACCAGGUCGAUGAAAUUCAGCAUUUGCCCAGGUCCUGUUUCAGAAGGCAUUGAAACUGGUGAGGAUGCCUGGCCUCUAGCAACCAAGAGUUCAAUGGAAGAGUCCAAGGAAACAGACUGAGCUGUGACUAUCCUAGAGGAGACAAUGAGACAGAAAAAGGGCACUGGGGACAACCUAAGGAAAUUUGAAUAAAGUCGAUUUUAGUGAACAAUAAUGUAUAAAAAUGGGUCUUUGGUUAUGAUAAAUAUAGAAUAUUAAUGUAAGGUAUAAAAACAAGAAACUAGGUGUGGUGAUUCUGAGGACACUGGGAAUCUUUGCAAGUUUCUGUAAGUCUAAAACUAUUCUAAAAUAUAAGUUUAAUUUUCAUUGUAUAGAUUUCUGGAAUUGUUUUUGUUGGCUUUGCAAUACUGUAACAAAAUUGCUGAGAUAACCAAAUUAUAAAGGACAAAGGCUU
ensembl:lncRNA